GACGAACGCUGGCGGCGUGCCUAAUACAUGCAAGUUGAGCGAUGAAGCUUGGUUCGUUCACCAAAUUGAAGAGCAGCGAAAGGGUGAGUAGCGCGUGGGGAAGCUGCCUGUGAGCGGGGAACAACGGUUGGAAACGAAUACUAAGACCGCAGAACAACGUUAAACAUAAGUUUUAAGUAUAGAAGAUGCAAUUUAAUCACUCGAAGAUGAUCCCUCGUUGUAUUAGCUAGUUGGUGAGGUAAAGGCUCACCAAGGCGAUGAUACAUAGCCGACCUGAGAGGGUGCUAGGCCACAUUGGGCUUGGGACACGGACCACACUACUACGGCAGGCAGCCGUAGCGAACCUUCGGCAAUGGAAGAAAGUCUGACCGAGCAACGACGCGUGAGUGCCGAAGGCUGUCGGAUCGUAAAACUCAGUUGGUAGAGCAGAACGUUGGUGAGAGUGGAAAGCUAAUAAAGUGACGGUAACUACUCAGAAAGGCACGGCUAACUACGUG
rnacentral:rRNA from 1 species